rnacentral:lncRNA from 1 species
UAUUUUUGUAAUUUCUAAUAUAUAUAAUAUGUAUUGUAAACAAGUCUGAAACUAUUUUUGACAACAAAUAGUAAUAUAGAUUGAAAUCAAAAGUAAAGUACAUUUAUCUACUUCAUAAACAUGCCAAAACCAAAGCAAAAGAAUACAUCUAUCUAGUUUUGAAUAAUGCCAAACAUCUAAAGCAUGUCAUCAAAAUAACAUACGUCCAUGAGCAAGAUGCUACACGCUGAGGUUUAAUUUUAAAAGACUAAGAAGGCAAAUCAUAAAAGAAAAUCCUAGGAACUAAGAAUCUUCAUUCUUUCAUCUUUGGCUCAUCUAGAGAAACAUUUGCAAUUUCAAGAACACCAGCACCCUCCAUGGAAUCAAUUGCAUCUCCACCAAUGUCCCACAGCUUAGUCUCCCCUUUUCUAUAUUGUGGAGUCCUCCUGAUACAAUCUCACUGCCAAAGAUUGCAACGUAGGUCUAGAAGAUCCAUGUGCCAACCACCAUACAAUUGGUUCCAUCACACCUCUAUCAACUUUUGAGUCAGUCUCCAAAACUUCGUAAGCAACCUGAAAACUUGGCAUAUUUAGUAUUAACAACUCUUCUCUCCUGUGGAUCUCGAAAAAUAUUUCUUAAACCAUUUGGUUCUCAUAUCUGAAAUUUCUUCAUCUUUGUGAGGAACAUGAUUGGGAUUUUCUUUGAGCCACAUUGCACUAUAAUACCUAUAUUGUAGAGCAAGUAUAAAAAAAAAUGUUAUUCACAUUAAAAUAUAUAACUUUAGUUAAGUAUUUAGUGUUUACUAUUUACUAAGUGUAUGGAAUGUAAAAAUGAGUUGUACCUUGGAUUCAAAGAAUGUAUCAAACAAUGAAGACGUGUGCUACUUUUGGUCCACCUCUCAACUAAUAUUUGGUGAACCACAAAAUAGAAGGCUGAAUACUCAUUUUACAACUUCCCCUCAGGCCUAUAGAUGGCUGCCUUCACCCACUCAAUCAUUGAAUCCCACAUCUCAUAAACCAAGUGUAAACAUGGAUUGUCGGUAUCACAAUACCUAAGCAUCUCAUACAUAGCAAAUGUGAAAGAGAGUAUGUAAUCGAUCUUAUCCCACCAAACAUCGCUCAACGCUUUCUCCUUUACAAAUGCUACAUUCCCAAAGUCAUCUUCUUUGUAAGAAGAUCAUCUCUCACUUUUCACCAUGGAUUGGAGGCCAUGGCAUAUGAGCUUAAACCUUUUAAGCAUCACAAUUGCAAAUGCAAAGCGUGUGUCCGCAACAGAAAGCAACUUUAGAGAUACAAACUCAUUAAAAAUAGCAAGCCUCGUAGAAUGAUUCAUUAUAAAGUUAUUGAUAAACAUAACAUUAUUCAAUUACUCUUUUUUCACAGUAAACAAAUAGAAUGUUGUAAUUGAGCCUGUUUCGGCAUUUUGGUAUAUUGAGCCCAUUGGGGCAUUGUAGUAGAUGUAUAUGGACCCAAACAGUGGCAUGGUAGUUGUGGUAUGUUGAGCCUUGUUAUGUCAUUGGUUCCAUUUUUUUUGUAUGAUCGAGCCUCCGUGUUUAUUUUCUUGAAAAACAUUUUCAUUGAAAUCAAAACCCGUAAUGGGAGUGAUGUUUCACCAUUUAUGGUAAACUUUUUAGAAACACUUUUCUUAAAAGAAGUAAAACACGAUGGUUGGUAAUGCUAGGUAAAUGGUUUUGUGAGUUAAAUUUUAGAGUAUGUGGAAUCCGGCUGUGCCGAGUAUAUUAUUGCUGUGUUGCUGUUAUUGUGUAGUAUCUAUCCCGUUUAUGUUGGAACAGGGGUACCGUCUAGUAGUCCUAUUUACAGAGGAAACUUUGGCAAAAUUUUUAAGACAGUGAUGAACCCAAGGUGGUGCGUAGGGGGCGACCGCUGCCCCAACAAUUUGAAAAACCUAGUAUGUUUUUCAGUAAACUUUCUUUGCUAGGGAUCAUAUAUACUUUGCAGCCCAAUAGUCAAAAUCUUGGAUCCGUCCCUCCAUACACUGCUCUCUUUGAUUCAGUCACAGUUGAGUGGUGGUACUUUGUAGUAGUGUUGUAUUCAGAUUCUGUUUGGAAACUUUUGUUUGCAAUCUAGAUGUAAUCAUUCAAUCACUGUUAAAUGCUGCCUUUUUUUUGUACUUCAUACUAAUUUGGUUCUGCAACAAACAAAUUGGUUUUCUAUAAGGUCUUAUGUGGGUUGUAUUUUUAAUAUUUCAAAACAAGAUUUCCAGAGCUGUUUCUUUAUGGAUCUUACUGGAUAUGUGAAUGCAGGGUGGAAGUGCAUUAGUGUCCCUGCUCACAAAUGAGUGUUGUUUACAAGUUUUGAUACUGAGCAAGUGUCACCUUGGGCUUCUUGGUGUUCUUCGGAUACUCCAGGCACUAUCUGAGAAUCUCUCUCUUGAAGAUCUCUACCUUGCAGAUAAUGCCAAUCUAGAUAAGUUUAAUACCUUGCAAUAUUAUUCAACAGUGACAGAAUGCUCAAAGUCUAUGAAGACAAAUCAAAAAAAUGUCCGACUCUUCUUUCAAGAU